rnacentral:misc_RNA from 1 species
UGGGGUUUAAUUUUCUCCGGCGAAUCUCCCGGUGAGAGGAAAAAGGGAACUGUUUCUGCAAUCAACAGAAUGCCAAUCAAAUGGGUUUUGCACUGGCAACCAAAUGCAGGGACAACAGUGAACAGUCAAAUACUGACAGAAGUAUCUCAAUGUGUUGAGAGCAUUAAUGGUGUUAAAGAAGGAAGGUGGAAAGACACUCUUAGUUUCUAUAAACCCAUGCUUAGAGUCGAACAAGCAAAUUCACUGGAGUUUCCCCGAGAUUUUCUGGGGAUUUCACUUCAAGAACAGCCCAACAAGUAUUACAUGGUAAUUAGAGGGCAACGGUUGAUCAUUGAAGCAGAGUCAUCAAUUCAGACGAUAAUGGAGAAGUUGCAGUCGUACAAAACGAGGGUGGCACUUAAUUUUGAGGGAUUUCAGUAUCAACUUGGUGACUUCCAGCUGCGAGUGGGGAAAGUUGUUACAAUACACUCUGAGAACUUGAGGGGAAUAGUUAUGGAGAUGGAGUAUCUUCCGAUUUCCUCAUGGGAGACAUCGCACCAAAUUAUGGGUGAAUUCUUCGACAUAUGGCAGGAAGCUCUUGGAAAACGAUCAUUACCAGGUCAUUUUGUGCACGUUGAACCAAAUUUUUCAGAGUAUGGUCUCUCUGAUCAAUACACUUCACAGCACACAGCUGUACAGUAUGCUAGCAUCAUGGCUCAAAUGAUAGCAACAGCUCAAUCAUCACAACCAAUGAGAAAUUAGAAAGUAGCAUAAUGUUCUGUUGACAGUAUUAACAUUUUGGCUUGGUACCUUUUGUAUUCUCA